CAGUUGUGUAAAAUCUAUUCUGUGACAUGAUCCCAGGUCCUUUUUGGAGGGGUAAAGGAGCUGCUAAAUGUAGCAGAGAGUGCUCUUUGACAUCAGCAACUGUUAAUACAUAACCAGAGUUACCAGGGAGGGGGCAGCUUAGAAAGAAAAGGAACAAUGAACAGGAAGAAAAAUUAUAAUAAUUUUUGCACUGUACAGAAAAUACUCUUUCCUUCUAGGACAUGUUGUGCCCGGAGUUCUCCCUGUUCCAGGCUGCCUGCUUUACAGCUCUUUGUCUGCUUUCUGUGAUCAUAAAUCUUGUAAAUCUCAUUGCUUCCAUGCCUCUACACAUCCUUCUCAGAAACAUUUUCUGCAGAUUUUGCAUCUGUGAUCCUGGAAAAUAAAUCCCUACGGAGGCUGUUAAUGCAAAUUGGCUGUGUUUAAGUGAGUGGCUGAUGCCCGUCAGCUGUGGUGAGAGGUGGCUGUAGCGUAUCUGCUCCAGCUGUAAUUAGGGGCUGAACCAUGAAGAAGUAGUACGUGGUGUGGUUGAGCUGUUCCAGGCUUGGGGGUGGUUGUGGGAAGCUGCUGAAGCCCUGGAGGUCCAGGAGGGCUGAUAGGUGACAGGAGCUGUGAAAUAGGAGCGUGAGCAUGCUGCAGCUGGAGAUGAGUGCAGGAGGAGCCCGGUGAGCCUGCCCCAGGAUCGUGGAGCAUCCAACAGCACCAGAGCCAGGGUCGUGGAGCAUCCAACAUCACCAGAGCCAUGCUCCCAGGCAGACAAACGGGCUCUGCCUGCUUCCCGUGGCUGUGCUUGCUGCUUCUCAGUGGCCCCGCUCUGCAGCCAGGUAUUGCUGCGUCCAGAGAUUCCCCUGCUGAGGGGACAAAUGGCCCUUCCUCUAACAAAACAAAUGUGACAGUUUAUCGCUGUAAAGAUUGUGACAGCAAAAUUUGCCAAUCAUCCAAUUACGAGAGGUUUGAAAUAAUCGGAGAAACACAAAAUGGGACAUUAUCUAAUGACAUUAUUCAGUUGGUGACCAGUGAAACUCACAUCAUUAUGUGCUUUCAGCAAGAAAUUAAGUAUCUUAACGAAGUUUAUGCCGUCAUCUUGGAGAACAACUCGGGAAUAGGAGAAUCCUGUGGCAAGCUGGAGCUUGGAGAAAAUGGGGCGCAUCACAUCACAGAGGAGGAAAAAAUCUGCUGUGCAGUAGAGACAAAUGAAACCAAAGCAUACGUCAGGAACCUGAACUGCUACAUUGAAAGCAAGAAAACAAGCUCAAUAUACAGGCCCCCUGAUGAUAUAACUCUAGAUAAUCCAACAGAUCCAGGCAACAGUAAGAGAAUUGGCAUCACUGCCGCUUUCCUGAUUCUUGGGGUUUGUGCAGCAGCAGCACUGGUGCUGUAUUGUGUUCAAAGAACCCGAAAUGGUCAAGGACCUGUCAUAGUGCUCUAUCAGAUUCUUAAAGGUGUUAUAAAACCCAAUCAGGCUUACGAAAGCAGAAGGUCACAGCCAUUUGAAGCAUCAUCUAUAAAUGAGACAAACCAGGCCUUCAUGACAGCAGCAUCCUUCUCAAACAAAGUCUAGCCAUCACCUGAAGAAACACAUUUCUUUUAUACAAGACCUCACAGUAGUUUUUACAAAUGUACUUUCACCACUCCCAUGCAUUCACCAAGGACUGCAAUUGCCCUAGUUAUCCAACUCCAGGUUUUUGCAAGCAAUAUGAGAAGCUUCCUGGGGCUACUGUCCUCUCCUGGUACUUGGUUGAGGAGCCCCAGCAUCACAAGAUGCAUGGCUUGUUCGGCAGCACAGGCUUAAACCAGCUGAAUCCUUCCAAUGCUUUUUAUGGUUGAAGCUACCAGUUCUCCUAAAAUCCUUUGGAGAACUGCAUCUGUGCUCAGGCAGGCCGUCUUGAACCCUGAUGGAGAUGUUCUCUGCAUAUCUUCCAUGUCAUAACACAGUAGCGUGGCCAUAGUUUUUCAUCCGUUAACUCCCAGGUGGGUUCUAGAUUUCCUCAAGGAGGAGUUUUGUAGAACCAUGGAACAGCUUGGGUUGGAAGGGACCUUAAAGACCACCCGCUAGCUCAGGCUCUCCAGAGCCUCAUCCAGCCUGUACAGGUGACCGGCUUGUUUCAUUAGAGCGGUUUGGCCUUCUGAGCCAAAAGUCUGGUUUUGCAGCCACCUGCAGGCUGAAGGCUACUCUGCGGGCUCUGUCCUGUGCAGCAGAGACAGGAGGGCCUGCACUUCAGGGAUCCCCAAAGGGUAGUUCUCAGGCAGCAUGUCAUCUUCAAAUGAUUUACUACUCAUGCUUGAUUUGAGUAAAUCCUCAAAAUUUGCAUUAUACCCAAACCAGUAUCAGGCUUUUGAGCAAAAAGCAGCAGCAUCCAAAUUGCAAAAGCACAUCCCCGAAGCGGGAUGGAUGCUUGUUGAAUCAUUUUUUGCAUGGUUUAACCAACCAUAAACCUGUAAGGUGGCACUAUCGGCAGGAAAUCUCAGAGGAUAUAGGAUGUUGUGUGACUCUGUAUACAUAAAAAAUACCAAAAAAAAGUAUACAAAAGCAUACAAAAAAGUUAUGGACCUUUUUUUUUUUUCUUAACCUCAAAACUUUGGAAGGUCCUUCAAAUACAAGUAGGGAAUUUCUGUGUUGUUUUGCAACAGUAUGAUUAGUUCAACGUGCAUUUUUCCAGUGCAGCUAUCAUGGGUGUUACUUUUGGCUCUGUUUCUCUGCUGUAAGUCAUUGCUGCGAGAGCCUCUGUGGAAGUGCCAAGCAUUCCCAUUGAUGCAUUGAGCUGUGUGCUGGGCUUCAGGAGAUUCCAGUGAUGCGUACCUGAUUUUCCUAGACCUAGAAAAACACUGUCUUAAAAUUAAAGGCUAUCGCAGUUCUCUGAUGUGGUCUUUUAAUGGGGAAAAACAAAUGUGUGUAUACAUAUUCGUGUGUGCGUGUAGGGUGGUCAAAUUGAUGACUGACACUGUUCUUUUUUUGUGUACCCUCAGAUUUUGAGUUUUUUGAAAAAGAAACAACAUGCUAUUUGACAACUUAUGUUGUGGUAAUUUGGGGGAUUCAAGUUUAAUAGCGUGCAAGUUUAAUUUCUAAUCUUUAACACCAGUUGGGGCCAGAGAGCUAGUCAAGUCUUGAGAAUAAAGGUUACCUGCCCGGUUCCGCGCA
rnacentral:lncRNA from 1 species